rnacentral:ncRNA from 1 species
AAAGAAUUUGAUUCUUGUUUAUUAAAUUAAUUUUUAAAUUUUUUUGCAUGUAACUUUAUUGAAGAUUUAUAUUUCUAAAAGAUUAUUUUUAUAUUUUCAGUGUUUAGUUUUAAUUUAAAUUAAUAUUUUAUUUUGAUAAAUUUAAUUUUAAGUCAGAAAAAUGUUAUGCCAGCAUUCGCGGUUAUAUCUCAUGAUUAAGUUAAUUUUUUUUAGUUUUCAGAAUUUUUUUUUUUUUUUUUUAAUUUAGGUGAAAUUUAUUAUAAAUAUAUAUAUUUAUAUUCUGUUUAAUCUAUAUUUUAAACCAGGAUUAGAUACCCUGUUAUUUUAGUCGAGUAGUAAAAUUCUAGUGAGUAAUUUUUUAUUGAAAUUUAUUGAAUCUGGCGGUUUUUAAAUCUUUUUAGAGGAACCUGCAUUUUAAAUGAUAAUCCACGAUAAAUUUUACCUUUAUUUUUUUGUAUAUCUCUGUCGUUGAAUGUAAUGAUAAUUUAUUUUCUUAAUAUUUUUUUUUAUUUAUGUUAGGUCAAGGUGCAAUUAUAUAUAGGUUAUUGUGGGUUACAUUAAUUAUUUUUUUUUUGAUUAUUUUUUUUAUUAAAAUAUGAAAUUGGAUUUAAAAGUAAAAAAUUUUAUUUAAAUUUUUGAAUCUAGCUCUUAUUAAUGUACAUAUCGCCCGUCAUUCCCAUAAAUUGGGACAAGUCGUAACAAAGUAGAUGUACUGGAAAGUGUAUCUAGAAA